rnacentral:tRNA from 1 species
ACCCAAAUAGCUCAGUUGCAAGAGCGUCAGACUGACUACAGAUCGAAAGGUCCCUGGAUCGAUCCCGGGAUUUGGCA